UACGAAGGGUGCAAGCGUUACUCGGAAUCACUGGGCGUAAAGCGUGCGUAGGCGGUUGAUUAAGUCUGCUGUGAAAGCCCUGGGCUCAACCUGGGAACUGCAGUGGAUACUGGUCAGCUAGAGUGUGAUAGAGGAUGGUGGAAUUCCCGGUGUAGCGGUGAAAUGCGUAGAGAUCGGGAGGAACACCAGUGGCGAAGGCGGCCAUCUGGAUCAACACUGACGCUGAGGCGCGAAAGCGUGGGGAGCAAACGGG
rnacentral:rRNA from 1 species